rnacentral:misc_RNA from 1 species
AAGUCGUAACAAGGUUUUCAUGGCAAUAUGAUCUUUCCGCUUGUUAAUUGCAACAUAUUAACAAGGUUCAUUUGCUGAAGCUUUAGUAGCCAGAAAUGGUGUAAACAACGACUUGACAUUAAAUAAAUAGUUUACUUAAAUGCUAGUCAUCUUUUAUUAGAUGGCGACCUUAACAACCCUAUUUUGACUGAUGUACGUUGAUAGUAAAGAAAUUUACUGGAUCAACACCAUUUAUCUAAACUAAGCACAACUCUUAGCAAUGGAUAUCUUGGUUCUC